CGGCGAGUGAAGCGGCAACAGCUCAAAUUUGAAAUCUGGCCCCCCGCGGGCCCGAGUUGUACUUUGGAGAGGACGCUUCUGGCGCGGCGCCGUCCGAGUUCCCUGGAACGGGACGCCGGAGAGGGUGAGAGCCCCGUACGGGCGGCCGCCUAGCCUCUGCGAAGCUCCUUCGACGAGUCGAGUAGUUUGGGAAUGCUGCUCAAAAUGGGAGGUAAAUUUCUUCUAAAGCUAAAUACCGGCCAGAGACCGAUAGCGCACAAGUAGAGUGAUCGAAAGAUGAAAAGCACUUUGAAAAGAGGGUCAAACAGUACGUGAAAUUGUUGAAAGGGAAGCGCCUGUGGCCAGACUUGCGCCCCGCGGACCACCCGGCGCCUCGCGCGCCGGGGCACGCCAGCGGGGCGCAGGCCAGCAUCGGCUCUCUCGGGGGGACAAAGGCCGCGGGAACGUAGCGCCCUCGCGGCGUAUUAUAGCCCGCGGCGCCAUGCCCCCGGGGGGGCCGAGGACCGCGCUCCGGCAAGGAUGCUGGCGUAAUGGCCACCGGCGACCCGUCUUGAAACACGGACCAAGGAGUCAAGCAUUGGGGCGAGUGUCUGGGUGGCAAGCCCGCACGCGGAAUGAAAGUGAACGCAGGUGGGAGCUUCGGCGCACCACCGACCGAUCCUGAUGUCCUCGGAUGGAUUUGAGUAGGAGCCCCGCCGCUUGGACCCGAAAGAUGGUGAACUAUGCCUGUAUAGGGUGAAGCCAGAGGAAACUCUGGUGGAGGCCCGCAGCGGUUCUGACGUGC
rnacentral:rRNA from 1 species